rnacentral:sRNA from 1 species
UGAAAUACCAGAGUCUCCUCUGACUCAAA